rnacentral:misc_RNA from 1 species
GAUGAAGAACGCAGCGAAAUGCGAUACGUAAUGUGAAUUGCAAAUUCAGUGAAUCAUCGAGUCUUUGAACGCACAUUGCGCCCCCUGGUAUUCCGGGGGGCAUGCCUGUCCGAGCGUCAUUGCUGCCCUCAAGCACGGCUUGUGUGUUGGGCCCCGUCCUCCGAUUCCGGGGGACGGGCCCGAAAGGCAGCGGCGGCACCGCGUCCGGUCCUCGAGCGUAUGGGGCUUUGUCACCCGCUCUGUAGGCCCGGCCGGCGCUUGCCGAUCAACCCAAAUUUUUAUCCAGGUUGACCUCGGAUCAGGUAGGGAUACCCGCUGAACUUAAGCAUAUCAAUAAAGCGGAGGA